CCUACGGGGUGCUGCAGUGGGGAAUAUUGGACAAUGGGCGAAAGCCUGAUCCAGCCAUGCCGCGUGUGUGAAGAAGGCCUUCGGGUUGUAAAGCACUUUCAGUGGGGAAGAAAGCCUUGGGGCUAAUACCCUCGAGGAAGGACAUCACCCACAGAAGAAGCACCGGCUAACAUCCGUGCCAGCAGCCGCGGUAAUACGGAGGGUGCGAGCGUUAAUCGGAAUUACUGGGCGUAAAGCGCGCGUAGGCGGUCUGAUAAGCCGGUUGUGAAAGCCCCGGGCUCAACCUGGGAACGGCAUCCGGAACUGUCAGGCUAGAGUGCAGGAGAGGAAGGUAGAAUUCCCGGUGUAGCGGUGAAAUGCGUAGAGAUCGGGAGGAAUACCAGUGGCGAAGGCGGCCUUCUGGACUGACACUGACGCUGAGGUGCGAAAGCGUGGGUAGCAAACAGGAUUAGAUACCCUGGUAGUC
rnacentral:rRNA from 1 species